AUAAAAUUCAUUUGAGUUUUGGUCACUAAAGAGUGAAGUUAUUUAAUAAAAACAAUAAAGGGUGUUGCGACGUGAAAUAAGCUGUGUUGGUUUGGUGUAGUGUUUUACUACAAGAAAGGGUCUACACGUCACCAUCUCUACUUUGGAGUCGCCCAAGCGCCCAGUUGUUUUACAAG
rnacentral:lncRNA from 1 species